rnacentral:rRNA from 1 species
UACGUAGGGAGCGAGCGUUGUCCGGAAUUACUGGGUGUAAAGGGAGCGUAGGCGGGCUUGUAAGUUGAAUGUCUAAUCCACCGGCUCAACCGGUGAUCGCGUUCAAAACUGCAGGUCUUGAGUGAAGUAGAGGCAGGCGGAAUUCGUGGUGUAGCGGUGAAAUGCUUAGAUAUCACGAAGAACUCCGAUUGCGAAGGCAGCCUGCUGGACUGUAACUGACGCUGAUGCUCGAAAGUGUGGGUAUCAAACAGG